rnacentral:lncRNA from 1 species
UUUUUAAACACGUGGGCUUCGCCUAGCGAGCAUGACAGUUCAAGAAAUUCCUCUGAGCGUAGGUGAUUCUGGUGGCUUUUCUUGGGACUCGCUAGGCGACCCAUUCUGCUCGCCUAGCGAGCAUGACAGCUCAUGAACAAACUUUUGCUCCUUCAAGAUUAACAUUUUGACUGACGAAUAGACCCCAUUUGAACCUGUUGGAAGUAUCUCAAGCCAUUCCCUUGUGUUGACUGAUCAUCUAAAUAGAACCCACAAAGUGUCUUGGAUGAUACUCAAGUUUCAAACAAAAUAUGUUAGUGACACAUUU